UCGAGCGAACCACUUCGGUGGGAAGCGGCGAACGGGUGAGUAACACGUAUGUGAUCUGCCCAUCAGACGGGGACAACGAUUGGAAACGAUCGCUAAUACCGGAUAGGACGAAAGUUUAAAGAUGCUCCUGGCAUCACUGAUGGAUGAGCCUGCGGCGCAUUAGCUAGUUGGUGGGGUAAAGGCCUACCAAGGCGACGAUGCGUAGCCGACCUGAGAGGGUGAACGGCCACACUGGGACUGAGACACGGCCCAGACUCCUACGGGAGGCAGCAGUAGGGAAUCUUCGGCAAUGGGCGAAAGCCUGACCGAGCAACGCCGCGUGAAUGAAGAAGGCCUUCGGGUUGUAAAAUUCUGUUAUAAGGGAAGAAAGGUGAUAGGAGGAAAUGACUAUCAAUUGACGGUACCUUAUGAGAAAGCCACGGCUAACUACGUGCCAGCAGCCGCGGUAAUACGUAGGUGGCAAGCGUUAUCCGGAAUUAUUGGGCGUAAAGAGCGCGCAGGUGGUUAAUUAAGUCUGAUGUGAAAGCCCACGGCUUAACCGUGGAGGGUCAUUGGAAACUGGUUGACUUGAGUGCAGAAGAGGGAAGUGGAAUUCCAUGUGUAGCGGUGAAAUGCGUAGAGAUAUGGAGGAACACCAGUGGCGAAGGCGGCUUCCUGGUCUGCAACUGACACUGAGGCGCGAAAGCGUGGGGAGCAAACAGGAUUAGAUACCCUGGUAGUCCACGCCGUAAACGAUGAGUGCUAAGUGUUGGGGGUCGAACCUCAGUGCUGAAGUUAACGCAUUAAGCACUCCGCCUGGGGAGUACGGUCGCAAGACUGAAACUCAAAG
rnacentral:rRNA from 1 species